AGAGCCCCUAUUCCAGGGAGGCUUGUAGAAACACCUCCCAAGCCCCCGUUCCAGGGACUCCCGAGGGAGGCCCCUAUCCCGUGUCCCGUGCCACAUCAGAUUUCUUCCUAUGCCCAUCGUCCCCCCGUGCGUGCCCCGUCCCCGUCAGCCCUCCUUCACCGGCCGCUCCCCCUUGCCCUCCCCUCACUGCCGCCUUGGCCGUCCGUGGCCAUGCUCGCCGUCUCCGCCCGUGACCGCCGUCGCGCCGCGUCCCCAUCUCCUCUCCCCGCCGCGUCGCCCUUCUCCUCCUCCCGCCACGCCUGUCUCCUCCUUUAGCCUGCGCCCUCGGUUGUCGACGCCGUCCGCUGGCCCCGCGCGCGCUCGCACCUCCGCCUGAGCCUCCUAUUCCGGCGACUGCACUCGCGCGCACCCGCCUCCUCCACCCGCCUCCGACCACGCCCUCGCCACCGUCCGCCUCCCACCGCCGCACCCUUCGCGCGUAGGGAAGUAGGGCAAGCCCUCCCGCUGCAUCUCCCUAGUUGGUCUCUCGCACGAGCUCGGGGAGGAAGACGAGAAAAUGACAUGUCUCACUGACAGAUGAGCUUCAUAUGUCAUUGUAACGGAACAAUCAAGUAGGGGCUGAAAUAUAAGGGCUCCUGCUGAAGAUGAAACUAAAAUAAGGUCUUGAAAGCCUCUAAAUAACAUCUAGUACCGCUGAAAAUGCUCUAAACAUGAUUUGAUAUGAAUUCUUGGAUAUGAUACUGAUCAGUGAUGUCUGGUGGCUUCCGAUUCUUAAGCACCAGGUUCACGAGGAAAUCAGGCGUGGUGCCAAUAUGGCAGCACAUGUACUCAAGAAAUCAAUCCGAGUUGUUGGGUCUACAAAGCAGUAAAGCACAUGGCUACCAUUUAGUGAUACCUUCUUUCUUAAAUACAGUAUAAGUCAUAAGUCAAUCUAUUUAAAGUUUGUAGAAAAAAAAACAUCAACACCCAGAAUGUUAAAUAAUAUACUGUGCAAAUAUAUAUCAUUAUGGAUUUAAUAAAACUAA